rnacentral:tRNA from 1 species
GGGCCGUUAGCUCAGCGGUAGAGCAGCGGACUUUUAAUCCGUUGGUCGAUGGUUCGAUCCCAUCACGGCCCA